AAAACAAAGGGAACCUGUCACACAAUUGUCAAAAAAAAAAAGAAGAAAAAAGAGAACCUCACACUCUCCGACCAUUAGACGUGGCUCUUGCCUGAUCCUUUCAUCUCCUUCUAUCCCCUCGUACCAAAAUUGCUUCCACCCGAGCGCUGCAGAUUCAAUUCUGAAUAAACCUUAGUUUCCCCUCUUGAUUCCUUGCCGUGAUCUUGCUCGUCCUCAACUGCACGCACCUUUGCAGCUCGGCUCACUGGUGCGGCGACGGCGUGACCAUCUACGGCGCCUGGUUUUUCCCCGAUGUAUGCCUCCUCAAUCUCUUAUGCUGGUCAACGGCGGCGGAGGGGUAGCAGGGCUCGACGAGAAGCUGCACAAUGGAGGAGGCGAGCUUGUCGAUCUUGACAGUGCCGUUGUCGUCGCCGUCCUUCGAGGCGACAUGGGUGUGGAUCUCGUCUGCUACAGCGAGCUUGGAUCCACAUCGUAUCGUGGUUGUCCCCGAGCAAGACAGCCCAGCAGGUCGUCUUGCUCCUCGAUAGAGGUAGCCUGAUUUCGGCGGCUCAUUCUUCCACCUGUAGAUCACCCGGUCAACAAUAUCAGGUCUUCAUGAUGCUGCUAUGCCUACUUUCUGUAGCAAAGAUUGAAUGUCACAAAUAGUUGCAGAUGGCAUGUCAUGUCGUGCUAAUCUCACAUUGUGAUAGUUCAAGUCUGGUACUUCAGUUGCAGAUGGUAUGCCAUGUCGUGUUAAUCUCACGUGGAUAGUCACCUUCGAAUUUAUCCCUUACCAUUCUGAGUGUUUUUGCUAGUCUAUCUUUAUCCAAUAUAUUUUUAAGGUCCUCGACAAUGGGAGGAUCUGUUGAUUCCCUUUUAUCUUCUGAUGUUGACGCGUCAACUCUGAUUCUUACCUCAUUUGUAGUGGCAUAGGUGUGCAACUACGCCGUGCGUAGUUUGUCUUUACCUUCAGGUAGUAGAGUACCUAUCUGUGAUAUUUUUGGCCAUUCAUUCCAAAUACAUAAGGCAUGGGACCAUUUUUUCUGUGUCUACCUCUCCUCCCAUUGAUGUGAAAGCGAACAUGGAGUUGUACAAUCUGAUAUUGUGCAUGUAGUUCUUUCUUCCACCUCUUUACGAACUAAAAGCAUUUGAUUGUGUUGUCACACCUUGAAUUGAAGACGUGCAUUAUACUACUGAUUAUGUUAUUGCUGUUAAGAAAUAUUGAAAUCUAAGAAUAAGAUAAGAUUGCAAUUGAGGAUGAGAAGUUGAUGUACAACAAUGACUGAAAAUCCACAAGGGGAACUUAUGAGAAGUUUAAAAAGCCAUUUUACAUGAAUUAAAAGCUUUUGAUUGUGUUGUCAUACCUUGAAUUGAAGACAUUAGUUGUUCUGCCAUUUCUGCUCUUACUUUUAAGAAAAUAUUGAACUUUAUGUCAGUUCUAUAUGAUCUCUGCAGAUGGUCCAGCUGCUGGAGGUGAUCUGCUCACCUGAUGGAAUCGUCGGCACACAAUUGAGAAGAUUGGGGCACUCGCUCGUGAGAGUUCUUUUUUUAGAGCUCUUUUUUAGGAAAACCUGAUGGAGCCGAUGGCACAAUCGAGGAGGAUGGCACAAUCGUGGAGAUUGGGGCACUCGCUCGUGAGAGUUCUUUUUUAGGGAAAGCCAUCAUGGUGAUGUAUAUUGAUUUGGAAUAAUAGUACAUCAUCGGCAAGAACGGCAAGUAAAAAUUUGGAGGGUUGCUUGUGAUGGUAUGAGUCGAACCUAUGGUGAGUUUUGUUUAUGAGAUCGUGAGAUUGAUUGUGUGAUUUGUGUAAAGAACACGGGACAGAUCAAAAAAUGGUCUGUGAGACCCGCGUAUAGGAGAUGGCAAAAAGACAAAACGGCAUGCAUGCAAUUGAUCAUUGUAGGGUUGGA